GCUGAAGAGGGGCAGCUGCCGACAGCCAGGUGCACACGCUGCAGGAGGAGCUGGACGAGCUGAAGGGAGGGGGCUCCCUGCCUUAGCAGCCUGCUGCCCCCCGCCGAGCGCCAGUUGCAGAGCUCCAGCCAGCAGCAGAAGCAGAGCAGUGGGCAGUGGUGGAGGUAGAGCUGGCUCCAGCUUCCUUGACACCACCCUCUCUAGCACUGGAGCCAGUGUCCCCUCGACCAGCAGUGUUGGAGCUGGAGCAAGGGCCGACAUCGGCUGCAGCAGGAGUGGGAGCUGCUGAGCUGGAGUCACCUGGACCAUCAUUUCUAGUGGGAAGUCCAUCUCCACCUGUGGCUAAGAAGCAUGAGAAGAAGCCCAACCUACGGCCUUCCCUCCUAAGCUGGUGGUGGAGCAGUUGACCGUGAUGGAUGCGGAGUGCGAGAUCCUGAAGAACUUCUCCUCGCCCCGCACUGUCAUCUCUUCUCUGCAGAAAACAUCCAUAUGCCACCUGAAGAACACAUGGAGGAAGUUUCCUGGGAGAGCUCUGAAAAAUUUAAAGAGAGCUAUAGCCAAGACGAGUCCUUGAACAGAGAACUGAUGACCAAGGGGAAUGAGAUCAACCUUGAGAAGAGGACUGAGGAGCAGCUGUGGCACUCCUUGCAGGGGAGGGGAAGGAGGUGGAAAUCAGAGACCCUCUGGGGAGAACAGUUUCUGGCUCCACCCCUUGUAUCUUACAUUGAGUGGAAGAUUUUGGUAGAAGUCGAGACCCAUCCAGUUGGCGCGUGGGUUGAAUGGAGGAUGGCAUCAAGGAAAACUUCUUGGAGGAGGGGCUGAUUAUUCCCAUUCUGAGAACAGGUCAAACACCAAGGGUAGAGGUCAUCAAAAGAUCAAGUCUAAUCUACCUACGGGUGUGGCAGCCUUAACUAUGGAUGUUCAAGCCAGACAUUGCCAGAAGAACUACAUCUCUUCACCCAUAGAAGAUGCAACCUACAGCUGAAGAGAAACAGAUACAACACCAAUAUCUUAUCCUCUCUGAAGCCAAACUGAGAGCCCCUGGAGUCAGAAGUUUCCAAGAAAAGAAAAAGUCAUCCAUCUUCGGAAGAGAGACAGUAGAGCACGGACUGUAGGAGAAAGCCCAGAGGAGCAAUGAAGACAAAGAAGACAUGACACCUGCAAAAAGUCAGUGGAGUAUUUCUACGUAACAAACCUUCCAGGUGAGUGACGGUCAGUAUCUUCCACUGAUCCAGCUCUCACAAUAAACCUAGAACAUGCCCAAGGUAAGCUGGAGGACUACGCCCCACUAGUCCAUUCCCUGCCCAGGGCCUGUUUGUGCAGGGUGACUGCCAUCAAGCAGACAAUGGACUCAGGAUGGAGCAUGUGCCUUUGGGGAGGCUGGUAGAGAGGGACAAAGUGGAACACCAGCUAAGUGCACACACCUGAGAGGUGGAGUUCCAGGAGGAGACUCAAAAUGUACCAAGAAACUGCGUGAAGGGAGCUACUCGACCUCUCUGAGCCUCAGUGUCCCCCCCUGUAAAAUGGGGAUGACAGGCCUACUUCACAGACCUGUUGGGGAAGAUACAUAAAAGUGCCUGUGACAGCCAGUGUCCAUAUUAUUAACAAAGCCGUCUCCGACUUCAGAAUAAUCAAUGAAAAGAAUAAUGUUGAUGAGACCAAAGACGAGAUGCUCAGCUUCAUAACAGCCCCAGCAGCAUGAGAGUGAGAGGAGCUCCGAGUAAGCAAGGUUCUUCACAGCUCCACUAGAGAGGAUGAACAUGGGCUACACCAGGAUAAGUGGCUGUUGUACAGUGACUCGUGUAGUGAGGGUGGGUCCCUAAAGACACU